rnacentral:lncRNA from 1 species
AUCACAUUUACUCAAUACACAGAGACACACACAUACACUAUAGAUCACCUUUACUCCAUACACAGAGACACAUACAGUCUAGACCACCUUUACUCCAUACACAGAGACACAUACCCUAUAGAUCACCUUUACUCCACACACAGAGACACAUACACUCUAGAUCACCUUUACUCCAUACACAGAGACACAUACACUAUAGAUCACCUUUACUCCAUACACAGAGACACAUACACUCUAGAUCACCUUUACUCCAUACACAGAGACACAUACACUCUAGAUCACCUUUACUCCAUACACAGAGACACAUACACUAUAGAUCACCUUUACUCCAUACACAGAGACAUACACUCUACAUCACCUUUCCUCCAUACACAGAGACACAUACAGUCUAGAUCACAUUUACUCCAUACACAGAGACACAUACACUAUAGAUCACCUUUACUCCAUACACAGAGACACAUACACUCUACAUCACCUUUACUCCAUACACAGAGACACAUACACUAUAGAUCACCUUUACUCCAUACACAGAGACACAUACACUAUAGAUCACCUUUACUCCAUACACAGAGACACAUACACUCUACACCACCUUUACUCCAUACACAGAGACACAUACACUAUAGAUCACCUUUACUCCAUACACAGAGACACAUACACUAUAGAUCACCUUUACUCCAUACACAGAGACACAUACACUCUACAUCACAUUUACUCCAUACACAGAGACACAUACACUCUACAUCACCUUUACUCCAUACACGGAGACACAUACACUCUAGAUCACCUUUACUCCAAAUACAGAGACACAUACAGUCUAGACCACCUUUACUCCAUACACAGAGACACAUACAGUCUAGACCACCUUUACUCCGUACACAGAGACACAUACAGUCUAGACCACCUUUACUCCAUACACAGAGACACAUACACUAUAGAUCACCUUUACUCCAUACACAGAGACACAUACACUAUAGAUCACCGUUACUCCAUACACAGAGACACAUACACUCUACAUCACCUUUACUCCAUACACAGAGACACAUACACUAUAGGUCACCAUUACGCCAUACACAGAGACACAUACACUAUAGAUCACCUUUACUCCAUACACAGAGACACCUACACUCUACAUCACCUUUACUCCAUACACAGAGACACAUACACUAUAGAUCACCUUUACUCCACACACAGAGACACAUACACUCUAGAUCACCUUUACUCCAUACACAGAGACACAUACACUCUACAUCCCCUUUACUCCAUACACAGAAACACAUACAGUCUAGACCACCUUUAAUCCAUACACAGAGACACAAACAGUCUAGACCACCUUUACUCCAUACACAGAGACACAUACACUAUAGAUCACCUUUACUCCACACACAGAGACACAUACACUCUAGAUCACCUUUACUCCAUACACAGAGACACAUACACUCUAGAUCACCUUUACUCCAUACACAGAGACACAUACACUAUAGAUCACCUUUACUCCACACACAGAGACACAUACACUCUAGAUCACCUUUACUCCAUACACAGAGACACAUACACUCUAGAUCACCUUUACUCCAUACACAGAGACACAUACACUAUAGAUCACCUUUACUCCAUACACAGAGACACAUACAGUCUAGAUCACAUUUACUCCAUACACAGAGACACAUACACUCUAGAUCACUUUUACUCCAUACACAGAGACACAUACACUAUAGAUCACCUUUACUCCACUCACAGAGACACAUACAGUGCUCUCCCUCACCCUCCAUUUGGCAAAUCUGA